CCUACGGGGUGCAGCAGUGGGGGAUAUUGCACAAUGGGGGAAACCCUGAUGCAGCGACGCCGCGUGUGGGAAGACGGUCCUCUGGAUUGUAAACCACUGUCCCCAGGGACGAAGAUGACGGUACCUGGGGAGGAAGCUCCGGCUAACUACGUGCCAGCAGCCGCGGUAAUACGUGGGGGGCGAGCGUUGUCCGGAAUUACGGGGUGAAAGGGGAGCGUAGGCGGGACUGCAAGUUGGGUGUCAAAUCUACCGGCUCAACCGGUAGCCGCACUCAAAACUGCAGUUCUUGAGUGAAGUAGAGGCAGGCGGAAUUCCUGGUGUAGCGGUGAAAUGCGUAGAUAUUAGGAGGAACACCAGUGGCGAAGGCGGCCUGCUGGGCUUUUACUGACGCUGAGGUUCGAAAGUGUGGGGAGCAAACAGGAUUAGAUACCCGAGUAGUC
rnacentral:rRNA from 1 species